rnacentral:piRNA from 1 species
CUGAAUGGUAUUGCCUAACACAAGGAC